rnacentral:misc_RNA from 1 species
CGCCGUCAACGCAGCCGGCCGACGGCGUCGCGACG